GACGAACGCUGGCGGCGUGCUUAACACAUGCAAGUCGAACGGAAAGGCCCUGCGUUUGUGGGGUGCUCGAUUGGCGAACGGGUGAGUAACACGUGAGUAACCUGCCCUUGACUUUGGGAUAACUUCAGGAAACUGGGGCUAAUACCGGAUAGGAGCUCCUGCUGCAUGGUGGGGGUUGGAAAGUUUCGGCGGUGGGGGAUGGACUCGCGGCUUAUCAGCUUGUUGGUGGGGUAGUGGCUUACCAAGGCUUUGACGGGUAGCCGGCCUGAGAGGGUGACCGGCCACAUUGGGACUGCGAUACGGCCCAGACUCCUACGGGAGGCAGCAGUGGGGAAUAUUGCACAAUGGGCGGAAGCCUGAUGCAGCAACGCCGCGUGCGGGAUGACGGCCUUCGGGUUGUAAACCGCUUUCGCCUGUGACGAAGCGUGAGUGACGGUAAUGGGUAAAGAAGCCCCGGCUAACUACGUG
rnacentral:rRNA from 1 species